rnacentral:rRNA from 1 species
GAUGUGUUCAUUUCAAAGAUUAAGCCAUGCAUGUAUAAGUAUAAACGACUUGAUCGUGAAACCGCGAACGGCUCAUUAUAACAGCUAUAAUUUACUUGAUCUUGACAAUUUACUUGGAUAACUGUGGUAAUUCUAGAGCUAAUACAUGCACCAAAGCUCCGACCGUAAGGAAAGAGCGCAUUUAUUAGAACAAAACCAAGCGGCUUCGGCCGUUCAAUGUUGAAUCAUAAUAACUAAGCUGAUCGCAUGGUCUUGUACCGGCGACGUGUCUUUCAAGUAUCUGCCUUAUCAACUUUCGAUGGUAGUGUAUCUGACUACCAUGGUUGUGACGGGUAACGGAGGAUAAGGGUUCGACUCCGGAGAAGGGGCCUGAGAAAUGGCCACUACGUCUAAGGAUGGCAGCAGGCGCGCAAAUUACCCACUCUCAGAACGAGGAGGUAGUGACGAGAAAUAACAAGACCGUUCUCUUCAGAGGCCGGUCAUUGGAAUGGGUACAAUUUAAACCCUUUAACGAGUAUCUAUGAGAGGGCAAGUCUGGUGCCAGCAGCCGCGGUAAUUCCAGCUCUCAAAAUGCAUAGAAUCAUUGCUGCGGUUAAAAAGCUCGUAGUUGGAUCUGUGCUGGCGGGUCGGUCCACCUUCGGGUGCGCACUGAUUUCGCCGGCUUUCCUGCUGUAUUUGGCCCUGUGCCUUUCAACGGGUGCAGUGUCCAGUGCAGCAAGUUUACCUUGAACAAAUCAGAGUGCUUCAAACAGGCGUUUCGCUUGAAUGUUCGUGCAUGGAAUAAUAGAAGAGGAUUUCGGUUCUAUUUUAUUGGUUUUAUAGACUGAGAUAAUGGUUAACAGAGACUAACGGGGGCAUUAGUAUUGCUACGUGAGAGGUGAAAUUCUUGGACCGUAGCAAGACUGACUACAGCGAAAGCAUUUGCCAAGAAAGUCUUCAUUAAUCAAGAACGAAAGUCAGAGGUUCGAAGGCGAUCAGAUACCGCCCUAGCUCUGACCGUAAACGAUGCCAACUAGUGAUCCGCCGGUGGAACAUUCGCCCUGGUGGGGAACUUCCCGGAAACGAAAGUCUUCCGGUUCCGGGGGAAGUAUGGUUGCAAAGCUGAAACUUAAAGGAAUUGACGGGCACCACCAGGAGUGGAGCCUGCGGCUUAAUUUGACCCAACACGGGAAAACUCACCCGGCCCGGACACCGUAAGGAUUGACAGAUUGAUAGCUCUUUCAUGAUUCGGUGGAUGGUGGUGCAUGGCCGUUCUUAGUUCGUGGAGCGAUUUGUCUGGUUUAUUCCGAUAACGAGCGAGACUCUGGCCUACUAAAUAGUUUACACAUUGCUUCUGUGUGCAUAACUUCUUAGAGGGAUUUUCGGUGUUCAGCCGCAAGAAAUUGAGCAAUAACAGGUCUGUGAUGCCCUUAGAUGUCCGGGGCUGCACGCGCGCUACACUGGCAAAAUCAGCGUGCUUGUCCUUCCCCGAAAGGGGUUGGUAAACUCGUGAAAAUUUGCCGUGAUUGGGAUCGGAAAUUGCAAUUAUUUUCCGUGAACGAGGAAUUCCAAGUAAGUGCGAGUCAUCAACUCGCGUUGAUUACGUCCCUGCCCUUUGUACACACCGCCCGUCGCUGCCCGGGACUGAGCCGUUUCGAGAAACUUGGAGACCGCUGAUCUGGU